CCUACGGGUGGCUGCAGUGGGGGAUAUUGCACAAUGGGGGAAACCCUGAUGCAGCGACGCCGCGUGAGUGAAGAAGUAUUUCGGUAUGUAAAGCUCUAUCAGCAGGGAAGAAAAUGACAAUAGCUGACCAAGAAGCAGCGGCUAACUACGUGCCAGCAGCCGCGGUGAUACGUAGGGGGCAAGAGUUAUCCGGAUUUACUGGGUGGAAAGGGAGAGUAGACGGUCAUGUAAGUCUGGAGUGAAAGCCCGGGGCGCAACCCCGGGACUGGUUUUGAAACUGUGUAACUGGAGUAUAGGAGGGGCAGGCGGAAUUCCUGGUGUAGCGGUGAAAUGCGUAGAUAUCAGGAGGAACACCGGUGGCGAAGGCGGCCUGCUGGACUGAAACUGACGUUGAGGCUCGAAAGCGUGGGGAGCAAACAGGAUUAGAUACCCGUGUAGUC
rnacentral:rRNA from 1 species